rnacentral:misc_RNA from 1 species
CUGAAAUACUGGGGGCGAGGAGAAUAUCCUCGUUCCCUUUAAAUCCAUCCAUCCAAUCCGUUGAACUUUGCACGAACGGUGCUCUGCCAGUCUAGCGCUGGCAGGCGUCUAGUAGUGUGAAUACAUCUUUUAUCAUACCCAAUUAUAUUUGAAGUCUGAAAACACAUAAUUAACCAAAAACGAUA